UUUUCCAGGCUAAGGAGAGCUCCAUGUUGCCAAGGCCAGACUGCUUCCAGUAGCUGAUGUGGAACCUUUGAAGCAAGCUCUAUUCUCAUAGAAACAACCCAGUAGUGAAUGAAAGCAGCAUAAUUUCACCUCAUUAGAAUCACAAUUUUUUUUAUAAUCUCACAUGGGUCAAGAACAGCCAAUUUCAAGAAGAGCACAAGACUGAAUUUGGAUAAAUCUUCUGUAUAAAAAGUACAGGGUGGAUA